rnacentral:rRNA from 1 species
AACCUACCUAUCAGAGGGGAAUAACCCGGCGAAAGUCGGACUAAUACCGCAUAAACCAGGGGCACCGNNUGGUGAUAUUUGUUAAAGAAAUUCGCUGAUAGAUGGGCAUGCGUUCCAUUAGGUAGUUGGUGAGGUAACGGCUCACCAAGCCGACGAUGGAUAGGGGAACUGAGAGGUUGGUCCCCCACACUGGUACUGAGACACGGACCAGACUCCUACGGGAGGCAGCAGUGAGGAAUAUUGGUCAAUGGGCGGGAGCCUGAACCAGCCAAGUCGCGUGAAGGAAGAAGGAUCUAUGGUUCGUAAACUUCUUUUGCAGGGGAAUAAAGUGCAGGACGUGUCCUGUUUUGUAUGUACCCUGAGAAUAAGGAUCGGCUAACUCCGUGCCAGCAGCCGCGGUAAUACGGAGGAUCCGAGCGUUAUCCGGAUUUAUUGGGUUUAAAGGGUGCGUAGGUGGUUUGAUAAGUCAGCGGUGAAAGUUUGCAGCUUAACUGUAAAAAUGCCGUUGAAACUGUCGGACUUGAGUGUAAAUGAGGUAGGCGGAAUGCGUGGUGUAGCGGUGAAAUGCAUAGAUAUCACGAAGAACUCCGAUUG